UACGAAGGGGGCUAGCGUUGCUCGGAAUUACUGGGCGUAAAGGGCGCGUAGGCGGCACUGUUAGUCAGGCGUGAAAGUCCUGGGCUCAACCUGGGAACUGCGCUUGAUACGGCAGAGCUAGAGGAUGGAAGAGGCUCGCGGAAUUCCCAGUGUAGAGGUGAAAUUCGUAGAUAUCGAGAGGAACACCGGUGGCGAAGGCGGCCAACUGGACGAAUACUGACGCUGAGACACGAAAGCGUGGGGAGCAAACAGG
rnacentral:rRNA from 1 species